GACGGAGGAUGCAAGCGUUAUCCGGAAUGAUUGGGCGUAAAGCGUCCGCAGGUGGCAGUUCAAGUCUGCUGUCAAAGACCGGGGCUUAACUUCGGAAAGGCAGUGGAAACUGAACAGCUAGAGUAUGGUAGGGGCAGAGGGAAUUCCUGGUGUAGCGGUGAAAUGCGUAGAUAUUGGGAAGAACACCGGUGGCGAAAGCGCUCUGCUAGGCCGCAACUGACACUGAGGGACGAAAGCUAGGGGAGCGAAUGGG
rnacentral:rRNA from 1 species